GUUCAUCAUAGCCGAAAGUUAGAGAAGAGAAAGGAGAGGAGAAAGCUCUUGAAUGUUCGGUCACUUGGGGAAGAAAAUUGAAGGCAGUUCGUGCGUGGAUCUCGUCAGCAUAUCGUCGCAAACAGGUAAUCCCCAACCAUAGUGGGCUUGGAGUUGUGAGGGAAUUCGGAGUGGCCACCUGUUCUGAAAGUUUGAUUUUUUUCUGGUGAACUGGAUAUCCUUUUAUUUACGUUUGAGGUUUUGGGUUUUUUUAAAUGUAAUAAGGCCGC